AUCGUGUGUGAUACAGCACAUUGAAAGCUGAGUAUGAUAGCUUAAGCAACUGUAACAAAUUAAACAUAAAUUAUUUAAAAUGUUUGCAGUGAAACUGAUAUCAUUUUGUCAUUAUUGAUUGAUACUAACAUUUAAAUACGAGUCACGAUUCAUCGUAAUUAUGGAGAUGCUUUUGAAUUCAAUGGGAAUUUUAGCGCGAUUCAUAAUUAAUAGAAGAGCUUUCUUGGUGCUAACGAAUUUAUAAAUGAAAAAACGUUUUAGAGCAGAAAGUUUGCGAUCAAUCCUUUUCUUCAAUGCUACUUAGGAUAAGAAUAUGAAACCAAGAAUACAAAAACGGAGCCAUACUUCUCUUGCGCAAUCCAAUUUCUUGGAGUUACAAAUUAAUUUCAAGCUGGCAACAGAUAUAUAACAAGAAUCCACAAAGCAAACUGUCGCAAGCGAUGUUAACUAUACCAGAGGUGACC